rnacentral:rRNA from 1 species
UAAUACGAAGGGUGCUAGCGUUGUUCGGAAUCACUGGGCGUAAAGCGUGCGUAGGCGGCUUGACAAGUCUGACGUGAAAGCCCGGGGCUUAACCCCGGAUGUGCGUUGGAAACUGUCUUGCUGGAGGACGGAAGAGGAGAGUGGAAUUCCUAGUGUAGAGGUGAAAUUCGUAGAUAUUAGGAGGAACACCAGUGGCGAAGGCGACUCUCUGGUCCGUUUCUGACGCUGAGGCACGAAAGCGUGGGGAUCAAACAGG